rnacentral:lncRNA from 1 species
CACAGCAGUGCCAAGAGACCGAGUGAGAACAAGGAAAACACAAGUCUCAUUUGCAGCAGAGGCCGCAAUUAAAAAUCCAUAUCCUUACUACGAAAAAGAUGAAAAAAAAAAUAGGAUGGCCUAGCGCUGCUGAAUCCUCCCGUCCUCGUUCUGCUGUAAAAUCUGGUUUCCAUGUAUUGCUGACCACAGCAGAGCUCGCAGACCUCACACCUGGGUUCCUGAGCUGGUUUGCACAGCUCCCAGCUGGGAAGAAGCCCCCCAUGCAGAAAGGUGAUUGUGGCACAGCAUCCUCAUCCCCGCUGAGCUCUGGGAGACGUCCAAAACAGCACUCAGGCACCAGAGUGCAACUUGUGCAGACUGCUGGCGCCCGUGCUGGUGAGAGCAGCCCCGGGAAGCUCUGCCUGCCCUGCUCAGCUCCGGCAGAUGCUCCGAGUGCCCGCAGCUCCUGGGGAACGCUCCCGAGGCGCCGCAAGGUCUGGCGCCCCGUCGUGCCCCACUGCUCCCGUGGGCUCAAUUCCCUCAGCUGCUCCUUGCCUCCUUGGCCAGAAAUCAGUGUUUUUUCCUUUUCCUGAGUGGCUCAGGGCUCCAGGCCACACCCUGCAGAACACAACACAGAAUCGGGGGCACCCGCCCUGCGGAGCAAUGCGCUCGCUGCGAUUCCCAGCCCACCCCGCCACGCCAGCGCCGCAAACCGAAUAAAAUCACCCGGGGAAACGGCCUGGGGUGGGCC